rnacentral:lncRNA from 1 species
CUCUGACUCCACCCGCCUGAUCACAGCAGGCGGCGCCAUCCUGCUGCCUGGCUGACCACAGCAAACUUGUUUUGGCAGUGCGCGGAACAUCCUGAAGGAGUACCGGGACCACCCGACCCUGUGCAUCUCCCUGUACCGCUACUGGAGGCACUCCCCAAACGUCAACUGCCUGCUCCAGUAAGUGACAGGCUGAGGCCACCUGCCUGUUGUCGUGCCUGCUGUUGCCUAGGGCAGCCCUGAGCUGGAAGAGCUGGAAGCUGUGCCACAGCCAGGCUUUGUAGAUCAAGUUUACUUUCUGAGCAGUGCUCAGGCGCUGCUGACCAGGGCACUGCUCAGAAAUGCUGAGUGGUUCGGGGCCUCCUGCCCUUAGCAGCUCUUGCCCUGCCUAGAUGGCGGUGAGGGAACGAGGCAGGCUCUGAGUCUCUCCCAAGGUGCUCUCCCCGCUCCCCUAGCUCUUCAAGGCUGUGUUUUACCUGCAGGUCUCCCUCCAAUCAGUAAAUGAAUAAAACCGAAACAAGGCAAAAAGCCAGCCAUUCUUCUCUCCUUCCCUAACUCUAUCCCCUCUCCCUGUGGCCCAGCUGGUCUUUCCCUCUCC